CGGCUUGAGAUUCUAAGGGACCAAGUGGAAAAUAUAAAAUAUCGCGAAUCGGGGGAUACCCCGUACCGGGCACCCGGUGCUUGAAAAUCUAACUAACUUACAACUACCCGCGCGUACGAUAUAAUUUUUUUUAUUAAUUAAAUAAAAAGAAGAAAAUACAGCGGCAGGCAGGGCACUGGGCACCCAAAUACCAGAUCCAACAACCGAGCCAAGGAGGACGACCACGGCGGCGACAACGAUAUCAUCCCUCUUAAUUAUCGAACGAAACGAAGAACAUCAUCAGUGUGAAGAAUUUGAAAUAGACUAGUUUAUGAUGAACGCGACUCACAGUGUGGGCGAAUGUUCUAGCUCAACUUCCUUGAGCAGCCAACAGGAUGUUGAGGAUGACCGCAUGAUUGCUGCUGUACUAUCAGAAGAAUAUGCUAAGUUAGAUGGUGCAGUUGCUAGACGCCUUUCCAACCUGGCACCUGUUCCUCAUGUUCCACGGAUAAAUUCCUACAUCCCCAACAUAAGUGAUGCUGGUUUGGAUCACCAACGCCUUCUCCAGAGGUUACAUGUCUAUGGUUUAUAUGAAGUAAAGGUUUCUGGUGAUGGGAAUUGUCAGUUUCGUGCACUUUCAGAACAGAUGUACAAGUCUCCAGAGUAUCACAAACAUGUUCGGAAAGAGAUUGUGAAGCAGCUCAAAGACCAUCGUUCUUUGUAUGAAGGCUAUGUCCCUAUGAAGUACAAGCGCUAUCACAAGAAAAUGGCAAAGUUUGUAUUCACUUUUAGUUUUCCACAUGAUGCAGAUCCGGUGAAUGGGGAGAUCAUGUUACUUUACAAGCAGCAGCUGACAAGUUUGCAGCAAAGAUUUGCCUUUUGACAUCAUUCAGAGAUACUUGCUUUAUUGAAAUUAUGCCCCAGUACGAGCCACCAAAACAGUUGUGGCUGAGUUUUUGGUCGGAGGUUCAUUACAAUUCAUUAUAUGAAAUCCGAGACAUGCCAAUUCAACAGAAGCCAAGGAGGAAACACUGGUUGUUCUAGGCUUCUAGCACUCGGGAUGUUCAAAGAUUUUAGUACUGUGCAUAUGUUCUCUAGAUGUUGCCUUUUUCAUUGUUUUUCGAUUUUACAAUUUAAUUCAGUUACACAGUUACAUGCUUAUAUAUUAUUAUAUAUACAACACUAGAGUUUUGACGAUUACUGCUGUGCUGUCUGAUGGUUUGUACUUCUAGUGUUUCAAGAUUUUAUUAUUUGAAUUGCUCAA